CUCCCCCCCUCUCAGCGGCGCCGCCGGAAGUGGGCGGAGCCGCCGCCGCGAGGCGCGCGCCCUUCGACAACAGUUUAAUCCAAGUGCAAAUUGAUCCAAAAAUGAGCUCAUCAGGUAGCUGUAGAGAUGCAGGAGCCGGCCAGGACCCUGACGGGGCACCUUGCACCAGAAGAUUCCCAUGCCGGUGCAGCUAGGAGCCAAGAAGAUGGCCUGAGGACAGCUUGUGACGGUGUGCUUCUCCUGCUUCCCAACCUGACCUUUAACUCCCGUAACCCUGCCCGAGCGAUAACCACCCGUGGUCCGUCUGGUCGUGAUGGCAGCAUCCAGCUCAAAGUGGAUUGGGGGAGACAGACAACACCACAAUAGCCAAGGGCUAACUUGAUCAAUACACCCACCUAACCACAGUACGGGUACUGUGGCCGAUAUGUAAACAUGACUAUAAGUCAAUCAUCUUACCCCUAUAAAUAGCAAACAGCCCAAGAGCCCUUGGAGCUCUCCUGCACAGCAGCGGGCUGCACGCCAUGAUCUCCCCUUGAGUAGGGACACCUCUCAAGGUUACGCCUUGAGGUUCAGCGAUUCCUUGCUGCAACAGAUCCUCAGUAAGUGGCUAAUAGCAUGCCAAACUUUGAAGCUUCACUGAGAUUAUAUCUUAGUUUGAUAGUGCACAUGUACUUGAGACUUAAACCAUUGACCAUGUCUGGGACUAGAAUUGGAUCCAGCUGCACCUAGA